rnacentral:lncRNA from 1 species
AGAGUGACAAUAGGUAUAAAAUUCACACCUUAACUUUAAGCACCAAUAAUUCUUUCAUAAAAACUCCAAAUCAUAAAAAAUUUGCAUCUAAUUCGUACCCAAAAUCCUAAACUUAUUGAUCCUAGCCUCCAAAGCUCGAAUGAAUUCAAAAAAAAAACCCUAAUUCCUAAUAAGGCCUCAAGCAACCUCCUUGAAGCCUAUUGGGCAUGAUCUUUGACCAAUAGGAAUGAAGAUCUCCAUUUCUUGCCUUCAUCCAACUAUGUCUUGCUUUCAUCCCUCCUAAUAAACCUCCUACUAAUUAAAAAUUUCU